GAUGAACGCUGGCGGCGUGCCUAAUACAUGCAAGUCGAGCGAACAGACGAGGAGCUUGCUCCUCUGACGUUAGCGGCGGACGGGUGAGUAACACGUGGAUAACCUACCUAUAAGACCGGGAUAACUUCGGGAAACCGGAGCUAAUACCGGAUAAUAUAUUGAACCGCAUGGUUCAAUAGUGAAAGACGGUUUUGCUGUCACUUAUAUAUGGAUCCGCGCCGCAUUAGCUAGUUGGUAAGGUAACGGCUUACCAAGGCAACGAUGCGUAGCCGACCUGAGAGGGUGAUCGGCCACACUGGAACGGAGACACGGUCCAGACUCCUACGGGAGGCAGCAGUAGGGAAUCGUCCGCAAUGGGCGAAAGCCUGACGGAGCAACGCCGCGUGAGUGAUGAAGGUCUUCGGAUCGUAAAACUCUGUUAUGAGGGAAGAACAAAUGUGUAAGUAACUAUGCACGUCUUGACGGUACCUAAUCAGAAAGCCACGGCUAACUACGUG
rnacentral:rRNA from 1 species